rnacentral:snRNA from 1 species
AUCUCUUUGCCCUUUGGCUUAGAUCUAGUGUAGUAUCUGUUCUUUUCAGUGUAACAGCUGAAAUAGUCAUCUUUGAUGGCUUUACUUUAUGUUACAAUUUAUUUAUUUAUUUUUGGACUUUAGGGUAGAUUGAUUUAUUAAAGUGGGCUUGCUCACAGUCUUUCUACAUAGUGUCGUUGCCACUGUACUUUAUUUUGGCUCCUGACGCAAAUGCCU